CACAGGUGAGAAUACACCAAUCAGUGACCGUGUACGAUGACUGCAAGCGCCACGUGGUUUCGAAGCGAACGAACGACGCUCUUGUAAAGGGUGAAGAACGUGUGAGCAUGACAUCAGUUUGUUUGGGGAGAAUGACGUCAACUUACAUGUCUGUAGAUAACCAGGCACCGGGGGCCCAGAAUGCUUUGACACUGAUUGGGACAGACAGCAUCAUUAAAAUACAGCUUGGCAUGCAACGAGCACUGACAAAUGUGGUAUGGAGAAAUCAGUUAAUAAAUCACGCUUGUUAGCGCACUUGAUUGUGAUUAAUAAUUCAUUAUUUUCAAAAUAAUCUGUUCAUUUGCAUCUAUCAAAACACAUCAAUUAGCAAAGGCAAUUUGGGUUUCUCGCGCAAUGUAAAUUGACAAAAACCCAGAUUUUACUUUCCAUUAAUGAAACUUUGCAUGUCGUGACGGCAUUUGCAUAAUUGGACCUGCUAUAAUCAGCCAAUUUAAAUAUGUUCAACUACUUUGCUUUUUGUUUGAAGAGCAUUGUUGUCAUUAUUAGAAUAGAAGGCGUAGUAUUGCCGGGGAACGUUUAUUUUUAUGCAUCUCACAUGAUCUCCUCCAUCUAUUAUCAACCUUUUUCCUAUUUAUUUAGUCCUUGCUCUGCGCUCUGGUGUCAGAGAUCACUGCACGCCUCCUUCAGAGUGAAAAACAAAUCACACACCACAAAGCUGCACUUUAAACCAUUUCCCAAAAGGCCAAGCAUAAGCCAAGCCACUUGCAUGAAACGGCAGAGGCUUUCAUUUCUUUCUUUCCAAUUGAUUUCUAACCAUCUUGGGCUGUGAAUUCUCAGUGAAAGACAAAUGUCUUUGCAUCUUGCCUUGUUGACUUCCAGAUUGUUCUUAUUUCCAAACUAAAAAUUUUCCAUGCGUGUCAUAAGAACACAAAUGAACUUUAUGGUGGCUUUGUCAGAAUCCUGUUGAAGAAAUCGUUGUAUCAUGUGAUUGUGACAAAUGUUGUCUGCUCAUUCUCAGGCUAGUCGUUUGGAAGAAUGUUUUGGGCAGUGUUAUUUGGUUAUUUACCUUUCCCGGACACAGCGCAGGUUUGAUUCCCAACCACUGCCUCGUCAUUGUCGAUCCGAACUGGAUGAAAAAUGGG